AUUUGCAGCUCAUGAAAUGCAAUGACCUAAGGAAUCAGGAAUAAUCUUUGGGAGUGAUCUUCGAGAUUAUAGCCCAGGAGAAGAUCUGUCUUGGAAGUCACAUAGAUGUGCGAUCAACAAAACCAACUAAAGAUUUGAUUCCACUUCCUAACAUUAUAAAGUUUCUGUGAUUGAAAGUACAGUUCCUGUUGACCUGUGAAUCUCACUGCUAGGCACAUACUCAAGAAAAUUAAAAAAAAAAGAAAAGAGAAGAAAAGAAAAGUACCAUAUGCGCCAAAUUGGUCAGGUCAAUAAUUUUGGUUUUCAAGGAUUUGAAACAUAGUAGAUUUCCACUGAC
rnacentral:lncRNA from 1 species